rnacentral:rRNA from 1 species
CUGCCCGGUAGCUAAAUGCGGAAGAGAUAAGUGCUGAAAGCAUCUAAGCACGAAACUUGCCCCGAGAUGAGUUCUCCCUGACUCCUUGAGAGUCCUGAAGGAACGUUGAAGACGACGACGUUGAUAGGCCGGGUGUGUAAGCGCAGCGAUGCGUUGAGCUAACCGGUACUAAUGAACCGUGAGGCUUAACCUUACAACGCCGAAGCUGUU